rnacentral:lncRNA from 1 species
AUUCAUCUCCGUUUUUCCUCUAGUGAUGAAGGCUCGUGGACGGACCACGGUUCACUCGGUCUAGGAGUCACGCUGUUGAUCAGGUUGUCAGACAUCAAAAUUCCCAUCUCCCAUCAGGGCACAGCUAUAGGGCUCUGGGUCAAAACAGGGCCUUCUCUUUUGUCUGGUAGCACCAGAAACACGGUAAUUGGGAACCCAUCAGGAAUGGAAGGCUCCUUGAGGCCCUGGAGAUGGAAUGUUGGGCCCCCAAGUCCUGAAAGGAACCAGUGGGGCUGUAAUCUUCACAAUCUGGAUCCAGCCAGAAGAGCACUGAGAGCUCAGUGUUUGGAGGACAAAAAAGGGCAAUGGAUAUACAGUAACUUAGUGAAUCAGGGCCCGGAUCCAGGAAGAUGCCUGACAUUUGUUUAUCAGCAGAGAAACAGAAGUAAAGGAGGGGAACCUUCUCCUAAGUGUUACUGUGUUAUGAAAGUGUCCUUCAGGGAGAGGCGACAUGAACAGGGCAGCUGAUAACGUUGAUACUGUGCAGGCACACAUCUCCCCACAUUCCCCAGGCUGCUGAACCAAGUGUACCAAACUAAUCGCAAGGACACAGCUUUGAGCCUCCCCGGCGGCAGUCCCUGGAGAGAGUCCGCUCAGACAAAGCAAAGCGCGCUCCCAGCGGGGAGGGGUGGCCACUUUUUCUUUGUUCUCCCUUGGAAAAUCGGCUGUCUCUCAAGUCUCGUAAACCAGCUGCUUUCACUUCUUGCAGGGGGUCAAAAUCAAUUAAUCACCAAUCAUGU